CGGGGUGAGUAACGCGUGGAUAACCUGCCUCACACUGGGGGAUAACAGUUAGAAAUGACUGCUAAUACCGCAUAAGCGCACAGUACCGCAUGGUACAGUGUGAAAAAACUCCGGUGGUGUGAGAUGGAUCCGCGUCUGAUUAGCCAGUUGGCGGGGUAACGGCCCACCAAAGCGACGAUCAGUAGCCGACCUGAGAGGGUGACCGGCCACAUUGGGACUGAGACACGGCCCAA
rnacentral:rRNA from 1 species